GGGAACUGGAAGGGUUUGGAGCUUGAAACUUUUUUGUCUUCUCUUUCCUCAAGCAUGUUCCUUGCCUAACAAACCUACCAAGGGACCACUGACAACAUCGAAACCUGGAGGAUGUCUUCACUUUAUUGGAGGAUGUGGCCUUGGGCUAAAGCCCGUAGGACCUUUGAUGAAGCAUGAAACGACCCUACGUCCUGCAGAGAAACUUCAGUGAUCAGUGUGAUGGAAACCAGUAGUACCACUUGAGCUGCCCAUCAAACAAGCUUUGCAGUAACUGCCAUGCUAUGAAAUCGUCAUUGCAUGGCAAUCGUCUCAGCAAUCG